rnacentral:rRNA from 1 species
GUGAGGAAUAUUGGUCAAUGGGCGGGAGCCUGAACCAGCCAAGUCGCGUGAAGGAAGAAGGAUCUAUGGUUCGUAAACUUCUUUUGCAGGGGAAUAAAGUGCAGGACGUGUCCUGUUUUGUAUGUACCCUGAGAAUAAGGAUCGGCUAACUCCGUGCCAGCAGCCGCGGUAAUACGGAGGAUCCGAGCGUUAUCCGGAUUUAUUGGGUUUAAAGGGUGCGUAGGUGGUUUGAUAAGUCAGCGGUGAAAGUUUGCAGCUUAACUGUAAAAAUGCCGUUGAAACUGUCGGAGUUGAGUGUAAAUGAGGUAGGCGGAAUGCGUGGUGUAGCGGUGAAAUGCAUAGAUAUCACGCAGAACUCCGAUUGCGAAGGCAGCUUACUAAGCUACAACUGACACUGAAGCACGAAAGCGUGGGGAUCAAACAGGAUUAGAUACCCGUGUAGUCC